rnacentral:rRNA from 1 species
UACGAAGGGGGCUAGCGUUGUUCGGAAUCACUGGGCGUAAAGGGCGCGUAGGCGGCCGAUCAAGUCGGGGGUGAAAGCCUGUGGCUCAACCACGGAAUUGCCUUCGAUACUGUUUGGCUUGAGACCGGAAGAGGUUAGUGGAACUGCGAGUGUAGAGGUGAAAUUCGUAGAUAUUCGCAAGAACACCAGUGGCGAAGGCGGCUGACUGGUCCGGUUCUGACGCUGAGGCGCGAAAGCGUGGGGAGCAAACAGG